CAGGUUGUUACGGUGUGUCUCAGGAUACUAAUCUGGAUGAGUGGAGAUGUUCCCGCUGUGAAGCUAAUGCCAUAACUGAGGACUGCUGUUUAUGCUCUCUAAGAGGAGGAGCUCUGCAGAAGGCCAACAAUGACAAGUGGGUUCAUGUAUUAUGUGCCGUAGCAGUGCUGGAGGCUCGCUUCGUGAACAUUGCAGAGCGCAGUCCUGUCGAUCUCAGUAGUAUCCCGCUUCAGAGAUUUAGGCUGGUAGGUUAAUGUUUUGCACAGAAAAGUGAAAUCCC